rnacentral:rRNA from 1 species
GACGAACGCUGGCGGCGUGCUUAACACAUGCAAGUCGAACGGAAAGGCCCUUUCGGGGGUGCUCGAGUGGCGAACGGGUGAGUAACACGUGGGUGAUCUGCCCUGCACUCUGGGAUAAGCCUGGGAAACUGGGUCUAAUACCGGAUAGGACCAUGGGAUGCAUGUUCUGUGGUGGAAAGCUUUUGCGGUGUGGGAUGGGCCCGCGGCCUAUCAGCUUGUUGGUGGGGUGAUGGCCUACCAAGGCGACGACGGGUAGCCGGCCUGAGAGGGUGUCCGGCCACACUGGGACUGAGAUACGGCCCAGACUCCUACGGGAGGCAGCAGUGGGGAAUAUUGCACAAUGGGCGCAAGCCUGAUGCAGCGACGCCGCGUGGGGGAUGACGGCCUUCGGGUUGUAAACCUCUUUCAGUAUCGGCGAAGCUUGCGGGUUUUCUCGCAGGUGACGGUAGGUACAGAAGAAGCACCGGCCAACUACGUGC